rnacentral:rRNA from 1 species
GCAGGCUUAACACAUGCAAGUCGAACGAGAACACACCUUCGGGUGUUAGUAGAGUGGCAAACGGGUGAGUAACACGUGGGAACGUACCUCAAGGUCUGGGACAACCAUUGGAAACGAUGGCUAAUACCGGAUAAGCAUUGCGAUGGAAAGAUUUAUCGCCUUGAGAUCGGCCCGCGCCGGAUUAGUUAGUUGGUGAGGUAAUGGCUCACCAAGGCAACGAUCCGUAGCUGGUUUGAGAGGAUGAUCAGCCACACUGGGACUGAGAUACGGCCCAGACUCCUACGGGAGGCAGCAGUGGGGAAUAUUGGACAAUGGAGGAAACUCUGAUCCAGCCAUGCCGCGUGAGUGAAGAAGGCCCUAGGGUUGUAAAACUCUUUCAGCAGGGAAGAUAAUGACGGUACCUGCAGAAGAAGCCCCGGCUAACUCCGUGCCAGCAGCCGCGGUAAUACGGAGGGGGCAAGCGUUAUUCGGAAUCACUGGGCGUAAAGCGCGCGUAGGCGGUUUGUUAAGCUAGAGGUGAAAUCCUGGGGCUCAACCCCAGAACUGCCUUUAGAACUGGCAAACUAGAAUCUGUUAGGGGGUAGUGGAAUUCUUAGUGUAGAGGUGAAAUUCGUAGAUAUUAAGAGGAACACCAGUGGCGAAGGCGACUACCUGGGGCAGUAUUGACGCUAAGGUGCGAAAGCGUGGGGAGCAAACAGGAUUAGAUACCCUGGUAGUCCACGCCGUAAACGAUGAGUGCUAGUUGUUGGAAUCUUGAAUUUCAGUGACACAGCUAACGCGUUAAGCACUCCGCCUGGGGACUACGGCCGCAAGGCUAAAACUCAAAGGAAUUGACGGGGACCCGCACAAGCGGUGGAGCAUGUGGUUUAAUUCGAUGCUACGCGAAGAACCUUACCACCCUUUGACAUCUUGAUCGCGAGGACCAGAAAUGGACCUUUUCAGUUCGGCUGGAUCAAUGACAGGUGUUGCAUGGCUGUCGU